AUUGACCGCUGGCGGCAGGCUUAACACAUGCAAGUCGAACGAGUGGCGGACGGGUGAGUAAUGCUUGGGAUUCUAGCUUAUGGAGGGGGAUAACUACGGGAAACUGUAGCUAAUACCGCGUACCAUAGGAUGAGCCCAAGUGGGAUUAGGUAGUUGGUGAGGUAUAGGCUCACCAAGCCGACGAUCCCUAGCUGGUCUGAGAGGAUGACCAGCCACACUGGGACUGAGACACGGCCCAGACUCCUACGGGAGGCAGGAGUGGGGAAUCUUGCGCGAUGGGGGCAACCUGACGCAGCCAUGCCGCGUGAAUGAAGAAGGCCUUCGGGUUGUAAAGUUCUUUCGGUAGCGAGGCGUUACCUACAGAAGAAGCACCGGCUAACUCCGUGCCAGCAGCCGCGGUAAUUC
rnacentral:rRNA from 1 species